rnacentral:rRNA from 1 species
GCCCAAACCUCCCACCCGUGUUUACUGUACCUUAGUUGCUUCGGCGGGCCCGCCAUUCAUGGCCGCCGGGGGCUCUCAGCCCCGGGCCCGCGCCCGCCGGAGACACCACGAACUCUGUCUGAUCUAGUGAAGUCUGAGUUGAUUGUAUCGCAAUCAGUUAAAACUUUCAACAAUGGAUCUCUUGGUUCCGGCAUCGAUGAAGAACGCAGCGAAAUGCGAUAACUAGUGUGAAUUGCAGAAUUCCGUGAAUCAUCGAGUCUUUGAACGCACAUUGCGCCCCCUGGUAUUCCGGGGGGCAUGCCUGUCCGAGCGUCAUUGCUGCCCAUCAAGCACGGCUUGUGUGUUGGGUCGUCGUCCCCUCUCCGGGGGGGACGGGCCCCAAAGGCAGCGGCGGCACCGCGUCCGAUCCUCGAGCGUAUGGGGCUUUGUCACCCGCUCUGUAGGCCCGGCCGGCGCUUGCCGAACGCAAAUCAAUCUUUUUCCAGGUUGACCUCGGAUCAGG